CCAAAACUGCAAGUCGAGCGGACAGAAGGGAGCUUGCUCCCGGAUGUUAGCGGCGGACGGGUGAGUAACACGUGGGUAACCUGCCUGUAAGACUGGGAUAACUCCGGGAAACCGGAGCUAAUACCGGAUAGUUCCUUGAACCGCAUGGUUCAAGGUAUGAAAGACGGUUUCGGCUGUCACUUACAGAUGGACCCGCGGCGCAUUAGCUAGUUGGUGGGGUAAUGGCUCACCAAGGCGACGAUGCGUAGCCGACCUGAGAGGGUGAUCGGCCACACUGGGACUGAGACACGGCCCAGACUCCUACGGGAGGCAGCAGUAGGGAAUCUUCCGCAAUGGACGAAAGUCUGACGGAGCAACGCCGCGUGAGUGAUGAAGGUUUUCGGAUCGUAAAGCUCUGUUGUUAGGGAAGAACAAGUGCGAGAGUAACUGCUCGCACCUUGACGGUACCUAACCAGAAAGCCACGGUUAACUACGUGCCAGCAGCCGCUGUAAUACUUAGGUGGCAAGCGUUG
rnacentral:rRNA from 1 species